GGGGCUGUGGCUCAGUGGCAGAGCAUCAGCCCAGCAUGCAGAAGGUCCCAAAUUCAGUCCCUGGUUGGUAUCU
rnacentral:tRNA from 1 species